UUGAAGAAAAAUGAGAAGGAGAGCAAGCAAUUACAACUUGGUCAACCUCAUAAGAAGAGUUGUCCUUACAAUCAAGGGUACAUUUAUCAUUUUCAAUAGUUACCUUAGAUACAAACUUCUCAUAAUGAAUAUUUAAGGGAGAUGGAUAAGAUUGUAAUGCCCAUGGCAGUUGAGAUAGACCUCUUCUAGCAACUUUUGGAAUCAAAAUAUCUUUGGAGAAGUCUGUAUCAACUGUGUUAAGAGGGUACAAAGUAUCGUCCAAUUCCGCGACCUUAAAACACCAUAUCAGAAAUUUCUUUUGACUGUUCCCGAGUUUGGCAUAAGAAGAAACUUCAUCAAUUAGUAUUAGCAUUGUUUUUUUGAAGGAAAAUUCAUGUGACGCAUUUAAUGAGAGUGAUUUGGACAAAUGAUCAGGGAACAUUUCAUCUAUAAACAACUGAAAUUGGGAUAUCCAAGAAAUACGAACAGAUUCCUCAACGUUAAUAAAAAAGCAAACAGAAACAUAUUCCAAAAGUUUUUCCCAUAAAAUGUUUAAUUUUUUCACCUCAACCAUGUCUAAUACUUUAGUAUCGGUCUCAUCGUAAACUAAAUCUGAGCCAGUCAUCUCUGUAACUUCAAUACCC